AUUCGUUCACUCUUACUAAAGAGCGCAGUUCGAGCUAUACCAUGGAACGGGGGAUAGC
ncrna:unclassified sequences Glutamine-II riboswitch (downstream peptide RNA)